UAGGGAAUCUUCCGCAAUGGGCGAAAGCCUGACGGAGCAACGCCGCGUGAGUGAUGAAGGUCUUCGGAUCGUAAAACUCUGUUAUUAGGGAAGAACAAAUGUGUAAGUAACUAUGCACGUCUUGACGGUACCUAAUCAGAAAGCCACGGCUAACUACGUGCCAGCAGCCGCGGUAAUACGUAGGUGGCAAGCGUUAUCCGGAAUUAUUGGGCGUAAAGCGCGCGUAGGCGGUUUUUUAAGUCUGAUGUGAAAGCCCACGGCUCAACCGUGGAGGGUCAUUGGAAACUGGAAAACUUGAGUGCAGAGGAGGAAAGUGGAAUUCCAUGUGUAGCAGUGAAAUGCGCAGAGAUAUGGAGGAACACCAGUUGCGAAGGCGACUUUCUGGUCUGUAACUGACGCUAAUGUGCGAAAGCGUGGGGAUCAAACAGG
rnacentral:rRNA from 1 species